AUAUAGAAGAUGAGAAAAGAGGAAGGUGCGACGGACGGUGGAACAAUAACUCUACACAAUUUGCAUUAGUUUCUUAUUUAAUUAUAGAAAAUUCAUACGAAAAAAAAGAGAGGAAAUUUCGAGAUAAAAGAAAAAGGAAUAUUUUCAUCAUGAACAAAGUUUGGUUGAGUGUCCUUUGUUUUGCAAUUGCUUGACGUCAACCCCUCUUCUUUCUCAACUCUAAAAUUCUAAUCACAACCAAAUAAUCACUUUCCCUUUCCCAAUUUAGAUCAAUUACAGCUAUGGCAACCAGUGGAAACAAGAAUAUGAACGCUAAAUUGCAAGAAAUAGCACCAGCAAGCAGAAGCAAGUAGCAGCCUUAGGUAGCAGCAGCAGCUAUGGUACUAAAACUUUGGAAAGGCAGCCACUAUUUCCAUCAAUAGGAGGCCAUGGAGUAAGCCAAAGCCAAAAUGCCACAGAGAUCGGUGUAGGUAACAGCAAGGUAGCAUCAACGAACAACAGCAAAGUAGCACAAGGUGCAACAGGGAAGUGCCACAAAGUGAGUUUCAACAGCAACAAGAGUAACUGAGCCCAUAACAAUUGAGCAACAGCCAACAACAGUCAAACAAUGUCUAGCCAAAGUAAUGGCGCCAGAUGCAGGUUUGGUUUCAAACAAUAAGUCUCUUUUGCCUUCAAAGUGAUAUAUGGCAAUAGUAAUUCAGCCAGAUAAACGGCAAACCAUCGGUGGUAUGUUGCAGUAAACAACGAUAGUAACAGGCAGCCACAUAUAGGAACAGCUAUAUUCCUUUAUCAAGUGUGAUAUAUGUUCAUUUUUUCAAGAAACUUAAGCAACAAACAUGGCUGUAGCUCAAUCUCAUAAUGUGAGAGUCAGCUCAAGGUGACAAUCUGUUUGUUCUUUUUAAGGAUAAAGCAAUGAUGACUAAUGAUCAAAAACAACAAAUAAUUCUAAUAACAGCCGGGGGGGGGGGGGGAGCAGCA